UCCCGGGAUCGCGGAGCUGUCCGGCCGCCCCGGUGCUGAUCCACCGCCGCCGCCCACCGGCCGCGGGCAGCGCAGAGCGAACGGGCACUAUGAGCGGGGGCGUCUAUGGCGGAGAUGAGGUGGGGGCGCUGGUAUUUGACAUCGGCUCCUUCUCAGUCCGCGCUGGGUAUGCUGGGGAGGACUGUCCCAAGGCGGACUUCCCCACCACGGUGGGGUUGCUGGCUGCGGAGGAAGGGGGAGGCCUGGAGCUGGAGGGGGAGAAGGAGAAGAAAGGGAAGAUCUUCCACAUCGACACCAACGCUCUGCACGUGCCUCGAGAUGGAGCUGAGGUCAUGUCACCCCUCAAGAAUGGCAUGAUCGAGGACUGGGAGUGCUUCCGAGCCAUCCUGGAUCAUACGUACAGCAAACAUGUCAAGUCUGAGCCCAACCUGCACCCAGUGCUCAUGUCUGAGGCCCCGUGGAACACGCGGGCCAAGCGGGAGAAGCUGACUGAGCUGAUGUUCGAGCAGUACAACAUUCCAGCCUUCUUCUUGUGCAAGACAGCUGUGCUCACAGCCUUUGCCAAUGGCCGCUCCACUGGCCUGGUGCUGGACAGUGGGGCCACUCACACCACUGCCAUCCCUGUGCACGACGGCUACGUCCUGCAGCAAGGCAUAGUGAAGUCACCCCUGGCCGGGGACUUCAUCUCCAUGCAGUGCCGAGAGCUAUUCCAGGAGAUGGCCAUUGACAUUAUCCCACCCUACAUGAUUGCUGCCAAGGAGCCUGUCCGGGAGGGUGCCCCCCCAAACUGGAAGAAGAAGGAGAAGCUCCCCCAAGUCUCCAAAUCCUGGCAUAACUACAUGUGCAAUGAGGUGAUUCAGGACUUCCAGGCCUCCGUGCUGCAGGUCUCUGACUCGCCCUACGACGAGCAGGUGGCGGCGCAGAUGCCCACUGUCCACUACGAGAUGCCCAACGGCUACAACACAGACUACGGUGCGGAGCGCCUGCGCAUCCCUGAGGGCCUGUUCGACCCCUCCAACGUCAAGGGCCUGUCAGGAAACACCAUGCUGGGUGUGGGCCACGUGGUGACCACCAGCAUUGGCAUGUGUGACAUUGACAUCCGCCCGGGCCUGUACGGCAGUGUCAUUGUCACAGGAGGCAACACGCUACUGCAGGGCUUCACCGACAGGCUCAACCGAGAGCUCUCCCAGAAGACCCCGCCGCCCCAGCUCUGCCUCCCCAGCCUCCUACCCCCCCCUCCCCACAGAGCAUGCGCCUCAAGCUGAUCGCCAGCAACAGCACCAUGGAGCGCAAGUUCAGCCCCUGGAUCGGGGGCUCCAUCCUGGCCUCCCUGGGCACGUUCCAGCAGAUGUGGAUCUCCAAGCAGGAAUACGAGGAGGGCGGAAAGCAGUGCGUGGAGAGGAAGUGCCCCUGAGGGCGCCCCUUCGUGCCCUCCAAGCAGUGGGGGAGGAGAUGCUGAAGAGGGGAUCCCGGACCCCGCCUCCGCAAGCGCCCCCGAAGUCCCCUGACCCGUCCCCCCAACGCCUCCCUCUUCUCAUUCCCUCCCCGCUUGGUCCUCUUAGACAGUGAUGUUUCUGGGUUGGAAGGAGUAAAGAUGUUUUGAGAAAAUGUCAAA